rnacentral:rRNA from 1 species
GACGUAGGGGGCGAGCGUUGUUCGGAAUCACUGGGCGUAAAGCGCACGUAGGCGGAUGUGUCAGUCAGGGGUGAAAUCCCGGAGCUCAACUUCGGAACUGCCUUUGAUACAGCACGUCUUGAGUCCGAUAGAGGUGGGUGGAAUUCCUAGUGUAGAGGUGAAAUUCGUAGAUAUUAGGAAGAACACCGGUGGCGAAGGCGGCCCACUGGAUCGGUACUGACGCUGAGGUACGAAAGCGUGGGGAGCGAACAGG